rnacentral:rRNA from 1 species
AGCGAACGCUGGCGGCAGGCCUAACACAUGCAAGUCGAACGAAGCCUUCGGGCUUAGUGGCGGACGGGUGAGUAACACGUGGGAACGUACCUUUUGGUUCGGAAUAACGCAGAGAAAUUUGCGCUAAUACCGAAUGAGCCCUUCGGGGGAAAGAUUUAUCGCCGAAAGAUCGGCCCGCGUUGGAUUAGGUAGUUGGUGUGGUAAAGGCGCACCAAGCCUACGAUCCAUAGCUGGUCUGAGAGGAUGAUCAGCCACACUGGGACUGAGACACGGCCCAGACUCCUACGGGAGGCAGCAGUGGGGAAUCUUGCGCAAUGGGCGAAAGCCUGACGCAGCCAUGCCGCGUGAAUGAUGAAGGUCUUAGGAUUGUAGAAUUCUUUUACCAGGGACGAUAAUGACGGUACCUGGAGAAAAAGCCCCGGCUAACUUCGUGCCAGCCGCCGCGGUAAUAC